rnacentral:rRNA from 1 species
GAUUAGAGUUUGAUCCUGGCUCAGGAUGAACGCUAGCUACAGGCUUAACACAUGCAAGUCGAGGGGCAGCAUAACGAAAGCUUGCUUUUGUUGAUGGCGACCGGCGCACGGGUGAGUAACGCGUAUCCAACCUUCCCUAUAGUAGAGGAUAGCCCGGCGAAAGUCGGAUUAAUACUCUAUGUUGUAUUUCGAGGACAUCUGAAGAAUACCAAAGGUUUACCGCUAUAGGAUGGGGAUGCGUCUGAUUAGGUUGUUGGCGGGGUAACGGCCCACCAAGCCUACGAUCAGUAGGGGUUCUGAGAGGAAAGUCCCCCACAUUGGAACUGAGACACGGUCCAAACUCCUACGGGAGGCAGCAGUGAGGAAUAUUGGUCAAUGGACGGAAGUCUGAACCAGCCAAGUAGCGUGCAGGAUGACGGCCCUAUGGGUUGUAAACUGCUUUUAUACAGGGAUAAAGUGAGCCACGUGUGGCUUUUUGUAGGUACUGUAUGAAUAANGACCGGCUAAUUCCGUGCCAGCAGCCGCGGUAAUACG